rnacentral:rRNA from 1 species
UACAGAGGGUGCGAGCGUUAAUCGGAAUUACUGGGCGUAAAGCGUGCGUAGGCGGUGUCUUAAGUUUGUUGUGAAAUCUCCCGGCUUAACCGGGAGGGUGCGGCGAAUACUGAGAUGCUGGAGUGCCGGAGAGGUAAGCGGAAUUCCUGGUGUAGCGGUGAAAUGCGUAGAUAUCAGGAGGAACACCUGCGGUGUAGACGGCUUACUGGACGGUAACUGACGCUGAGGCACGAAAGCGUGGGUAGCAAACAGG